UUAUCAGUAGUUAGGUUAUGUUGUAAAAGUAAGUUUGACUGUGUUGUGGUGGAGUAAGUGAAGGAAAUAAACUUUAUUUCUACAAUUCAGAAUGUUUACUACUAAUGAAAGAUUAAAAAAUCGUACAGGUAAAAAUAAUGUUGGACGUUACGAGUUUUUGAAACAACUCACUGAAGAAUUUAAAUCAACAACAAGUCCAGAUGCCAAACAUCAGGUGAUGGCAAAUUUGGCAAAUUUUUCAUAUGACCCAAUUAAUUAUGAACACCUUCGCUCUCUAGGCGUCUUGGAUAUUUUCUUAGAACACUUGACUGAAGAGGAUGUAACUCUCACUCGUUUUGCUCUUGGAGGCCUCUGCAAUUUGGCUCUUGAUCCAGAAAACAAAGAAUACAUCAAUAGUAGUGGAGGUAUUUCUCAGAUCAGCAACUGUCUGUCCUCAUCCUGUAUUGAAACUGUCCAAUACGCAGUCACUUCUCUCAUGUUUCUUAUGACUGCAAAGUACAAAGAUGAAAUCACAAGUGAUGCUAACAUUGCACGCAUGUUGGAACUUUCUCAUCAUACAGACAAAAGAAUCCAAAACCUGGCAGUUAUAUUUCUUGACGACUAUUGCCAUAGAGAUCAGGUACAUAGAAUGCGCAGCAAUGUAACCACCAUACCCCUUCCUGGCUUACAAGCACCAACACCUCAAUAAUAGAUAUCGUACAGUAUGUUUUGGCCACAAGCCCUUGUACUUCUUUGCUCUGCUGCAUUUUGUGUCACCCUGGAUCUUGCUCCGGUGGCUCUACCUGCCGUCAACAACAGCCUGACAGAGUUGACCAGGCCCUUUGUGCCGUGUAC